CGAUUAAUUUGUUCUGGCUGUGGAACUGGGGAAACACGUUAUCAGGAGCAGCUCUGCUGGAGAUGAAUUUCAUCCAUUCUAAACUGAUAUUUCUAGUUUCUGAGUGCGCUCAUGCCCAGGAUGCUGGAGAGGUGCAGCCUCUGUGGGAAUCCUGUCAUUUUCUGUACUUUUCAAUAGCUAACAUGAUUCAUCAUGGUGCUAUUACACGUUCUGAAUUAUCCCUCUUCUUUAAAGCUAUGUGUGAAUAAGGAAAUCUGUUUCCCUUUGUGUUGAAUUUAAAAUAGAGAUGUGUUA
rnacentral:lncRNA from 1 species